ACAUUACCGAGUUCGCGCCCCCUCGCGGGUCGACCUCCCACCCUGUGUUAUCGUUACCCGUGCUGCCCGGGCUCGCCCCGCGGCGCACCACACUCUUGAUAUUAGUGUCGUCUGAGUCUAAAACAUAAUAGUUAAAACUUUCAACAACGGAUCUCUUGGUUCUGGCAUCGAUGAAGAACGCAGCGAAAUGCGAUAAGUAAUGCGAAUUGCAGAAUUCAGUGAGUCAUCGAAUCUUUGAACGCACAUUGCGCCCCGUGGCAUUCCGCGGGGCAUGCCUGUUCGAGCGUCAUUUCAACCCUCAAGCUCUGCUUGGUGUUGGGCCCCGCCCCGUCUCUUCGCGGGCCGGCCCUAAAACCAGUGGCGGUGCCGCCGGCUCCUAAGCGUAGUAACUUUUACACCUCGCUCCAGGCUCCCGGCGGUCGCUUGCCAGCAACCCCAACUCUCCAGGUUGACCUCGGAUCAGGUAGGGAUACCCGCUGAACUUAAGCAUAUCAAUAA
rnacentral:misc_RNA from 1 species